rfam:Corynebacterium flavescens strain OJ8, complete genome.
GUGUUCGUUAUUUAGGGCGCAUGGUGGAUGCCUUGGCAUGCUGAGCCGAUGAAGGACGUGUAAGGCUGCGUUAAGCCUCGGGGAGUUGUCAAUUGAGCGUUGAUCCGAGGAUGUCCGAAUGGGGAAACCCCGCCAUCGUUAUUGGUGGUGACCUUUCAGUGAAUUCAUAGCUGUUGUGGGGGUGUACGCGGGGAAGUGAAACAUCUCAGUACCCGUAGGAGGAGAAAAUAAUAAUGAUUCUGCUAGUAGUGGCGAACGAACGUGGAUGAGGCUAAACCGUGUGCAUGUGAUACCUGGUAGGGGUUGUGUGUGCGGUGUUGUGGGCCCUGAUGUCUGGUAGCUACUGAUGCCGGGCUUGUGUGUUGUUGUUAGGUGAAGUGGUUUGGAAUGACCCGCCGUAGAAGGUGAGAGCCCUGUAGGUGAAGAUGAUGGUGUGCAAGUUGUUGGGUUGCCCGAGUAGCAGCGGGCUCGUGGAAUCUGCUGUGAAUCUGCCGGGACCACCCGGUAAGCCUAAAUACUCAGUGUGACCGAUAGUGAAUAGUACCGUGAGGGAAUGGUGAAAAGUACCCCGGGAGGGGAGUGAAAUAGUUCCUGAAACCAUGUGCUUACAAUCCGUUAGAGCACCUUUUGUGUGUGAUGGCGUGCCUUUUGAAGAAUGAGCCUGCGAGUCAGCGGCAUGUCGCGAGGUUAACCCGUGUGGGGUAGCCGUAGGGAAACCGAAUCCUAAUGGGGUGUUUUUAGUGGCAUGUCCUGGACCCGAAGCGGGGUGAUCUACCCAUGGCCAGUGUGAAGCAGUAGUAAGAUGCUGUGGAGGCGCGAACCCACGUAGGUUGAAAACUGCGGGGAUGAGUUGUGGGUAGGGGUGAAAGGCCAAUCAAACUCCGUGAUAGCUGGUUCUCCCCGAAAUGCAUUUAGGUGCAGCGUCGCAUUAGCUUGGUGGAGGUAGAGCUACUGGUUGGUUGAGCGGGACUACAAUCUUAGCAAUGUCAGCCAAACUCCGAAUGCCAUUAAUGUGUUGUGCGGCAGUGAGACUGUGGGGGAUAAGCUUCAUAGUCGAGAGGGAAACAGCCCAGAUCGCCGGUUAAGGCCCCUAAGGGUGUGCUAAGUGGAAAAGGAUGUGGGAUCGCGAAGACAGCCAGGAGGUUGGCUUAGAAGCAGCCAUCCUUGAAAGAGUGCGUAAUAGCUCACUGGUCGAGUGGUUCUGCGCCGACAAUGUAGUGGGGCUCAAGCACACCGCCGAAGCCGCGGCAUAUAUGCACUUUGUGUGUGUAUGGGUAGGGGAGCGUCGUGCAUGCGUUGAAGCGUUACCGUGGGCUUGCCCGCAAAUCGUGGACAGAUAGUUAAGCGGCUUUUAGAGCCGCUGCUGGUUGAUUGAGCGUUAACUCGAAGGCCACAGGGCUGAUAUCCCCGAUAGCCGAGUGCCGGCGAUAGCGAUUAUAAAAGACCUCUAUCCAUUCACUGACCCCGUCAUAGACCUCCGCUCUGGUUGCGAAGGCAUGGCGGUAGAAGUACUCGACUUUCAACGUCGCCCAAAAUGACUCGGCCAUCGCAUUAUCCCAGCACACCCCGGUCUUACCCAUCGACAUCCGCACCCCUGCAGCAACGGUGGCGUCAUUGAGCUUCGCACUGGUAAAUUGCGUUCCACGAUCAGCAUGCAGCACUACCUGACCCGGCAGCUCACCACGCAACGCACGGGCCUUAUCUAGGGCGGUAACUACUAAGUCCGUAUCCUGCUUCGGACCCAUAGAAAAUCCUAAGACCCGACGCGAAUGCCCAUCACGAAUCGCACACAGGUACACCCAGCCUUCACCACAGCGCAGAUACGUAAAAUCCGUUACCCACACCGCAUCCAAACGGCCUUUAUCCCAGGUGCGCUCGCAUGAAUCCCCAUGCCGGCAUUCGGCCUGUUUCCUGCGCCCAGAAACCCGAAAAGACCGUGUAGACAGUCCUUCAAGUCCUUGUCGUCGCAUAGACCUUGCUACAGUUUUACGAUCCACCACAAUCCCUGCCGCGUGCAGGUCAGCAGUAAUCCUCGGCGCACCAUAAGUGCCACGCGACAGUUCAUGAAACCACCGCACCUGCGCAUCGAGAUCAUCGCGCCGUGCUUGGCGCUGGCCAACGAUACCAAGGCGCUGAAACCAGGCAUAAAACCCUGCCCUGGAUACUUCCAACGCGCGUGCCAUCAUCAUUAUUGAAUAGUUCGCCCUCUCUUUAGCCAUUAGCUCAAACCGUUCCGGUGUUGUUGCUUGGCGGCGAAGAAGGCGCUGGCUUUUCCCAAGAACUCAUUUUCAGCUUUCAAGGCAGCAACCUGCCGACGAAGGCGUGCGAUCUCUGCCGCAGAAUCAGCUGGGGCAGGCUGGCCACUUUGUACGGCGCUACGGCGUGCACGCUCUUUAGCCACCCAUUUUCCCAGUGAUUGCUCACCAAGGCCAAGCUGGUCAGCGACCGCUUUGAUUGUCUGGCCGGUAUCGAUAACGAUGCUGGCCGCAUCACGGCGAUA